rnacentral:rRNA from 1 species
GGAUUAGAUACCCUGGUAGUCCACGCCGUAAACGAUGUCUACUAGCAGCUUGGCACUUAAGUGCUGUUUUGCGAAGCUAACGCGAUAAGUAGACCGCCUGGGGAGUACGGCCGCAAGGUUAAAACUCAAAUGAAUUGACGGGGGCCCGCACAAGCGGUGGAGCAUGUGGUUUAAUUCGAUGCAACGCGAAGAACCUUACCAUCCCUUGACAUCCAGAGAACUUUCUAGAGAUAGAUUGGUGCCUUCGGGAACUCUGAGACAGGUGCUGCAUGGCUGUCGUCAGCUCGUGCCG